rnacentral:rRNA from 1 species
GGGGAAUAUUGCACAAUGGGCGAAAGCCUGAUGCAGCAACGCCGCGUGAGUGAUGACGGUCUUCGGAUUGUAAAGCUCUGUCUUUUGGGACGAUAAUGACGGUACCAAAGGAGGAAGCCACGGCUAACUACGUGCCAGCAGCCGCGGCAAUACGUAGGUGGCAAGCGUUGUCCGGAUUUACUGGGCGUAAAGGAUGUGUAGGCGGAUACUUAAGUGAGAUGUGAAAGCCCCGGGCUCAACCUGGGCACUGCAUUGCAAACUGGGUAUCUAGAGUGCAGGAGAGGAAAGCGGAAUUCCUAGUGUAGCGGUGAAAUGCGUAGAGAUUAGGAAGAACAGCAGUGGCGAAGGCGGCUUUCUGGACUGUAACUGACGCUUAGGCAUGAAAGCGUGGGGAGCAAAC